rnacentral:tRNA from 1 species
UCCCUGAAGGACUAGUGGUUAGGCCACAGCGCUCUCACCGCUGCAGCCCACGUUUGAUUCCUGGCCAGAGAA